GCUACUUUAGAAGAUGAUUGAAUUGCAACUUUUAAAGCAUUCACAAUGUUAUCUACUCCUAACAAAAACUAUAUAGUGAAUAAUCCUUUGUAUUCCUCUUCACUAUAAAAUGUUAAGAGGUGAACAAUGUUCAUGGAAUGCAAAUGAACAGUAAAACAACUGUUGGCUUCAUUCUUUGUGGUUCCUACCUCAUGCCUUCUCAUUAUGCUGUUAGAAAUCAGAUCCAUAAUCCUCUAGUCUCCCUCAUUUUUUCCUUCCUUCCCAUUCUAGCCUUUCGUUUCACCAUUCUCAUUUCUUCAGUUCACUCUCAUUUUUCCUUCUAUAUCAAAAUACUUUUAUUCUCUGUCAUUUUUGCUUCUCUUUGCCUGUUCUUAAGCCAUUGUCAUUUCUUUCUUCUUCUUGUUUCUUUUAAGGGUUUCUCAACAAGCCGUCAAUUUCUUCUGUCUUCUCGACAAUUCUGGUGCCAUAUCCUCAAAUUUUAACGAGGUUCAAAUGUCAGAUGAGUUGACGACGGAAUUUGUUAUAUGUUAGUGUGGCUGUUUGUAUGUCACCGGGGCAUUUGGGUUUUGUAUCAAAAUCAAGGACGGGUGGAGGACCGCUUAAAAGUAAGUGAAAAAUUCUCUUUUUCCAUAAAGGGUAUUGAUAUUUAAUUAUUUAUGUGAAAAAGAAUGACAAAAAUAGAAAUAGAACAUAAUCAAUAAAUUCACCCAAUAAGAAAAUAUCCCUAAAUCAAUAAAUAGGAGAGAGUAUUUUAAAAUAAAUAUAUAUUAUUUAAUUAAUGAAGUAAUAAUAUUUUUAUAACAUAAUUGGAUUGAUUAUUAAAUAAUACAUAUUAUAUAUGAAUAGUAAAAAAUUUAUCACACAUCAUACUACCUAUUAAAGAUAAUGAUGUAAUGACAAAUGUCUAUUUAAGAGAAGGUUUGCCAAUAGGAAUAUUUCUAUUGGUUAAAUUCCACCUAUUAUACAACCUAUUAAAAAUGAUGUAUGUAAUGACAAAUAUCAAUCCCAAUUAGGGAUCGUUAUGGGGCGGGUCUGGUCAGACUCGGACUCGGACCCUUUUAUUUUUUAUGGAUCCAGACCCGGAUUUGGACCCUAAGGGUCUAAAAUUUUCAGACCCAGACCCAGACCCUACGGAUUUGAUGGGUCUAGGGUCCUUAAUGGGUCUUAUACAAAGCCUCCUUGAUUUGUCAAAAUUGAACCUUUUGCGAGUCUUUUUGUAUUUUUGUAAGCAACUUAUUAUCGUAUUAUAAACACUUGAUUGAGUCCAUAAAAUUCAAAUACAAAAUAAUUACUAAAACGUAAAAACACUUGUCUAAAUACAUAAUUAAAAAUCAAAUAUAAAAGACUAAAUGAGAUACAUAGUUUAUAUUAGAGGAGAAAGAAAAAGUUAGGGUUACUGGACACUGGUACUACGGUAGUGCCUUACUAGUUAUUGGAUUGAGAUUAAUGAGAAGGCAAAUUAGGCAAUCAAUAUUCAAGGCAUUAUAUAUUAAUAAUAUAAAAAAUUAAUAUUAGAAUUUAGAAUUCAGAAAUUCAUAAUAUAAAAUUUAAAAGUAUAGGGUCCGGUGGUUCGGGUCUGGGUCUUCACCUUAGGACCCGAAUUCGGACCCGUCAAAUAUUUUUUGGAUCCAGAUUCGCUCCGGAUCUGAUGGGUUUCAAAAAUUAAGACCCAGACCCUUAAAAAAGGGACGGGUCCGGAGCGGGUCCAAUAGGGUCCUGGACCCAUGACUAUCCCUAAUCUCAAUCCUUAAACUUCGUCACCCUUUUUAUUAUAUCGCAACCCCUUUUUUAAUAAAAUUACUAAAAUGCUCUUAAAUCUAUUUUUAAUUAUAAAAUCAACCAUUAUUAUUACUUAAAUAAAUUUAUUAAUAAUAAUUAAAUUAAAAUAAAAAAUAUUAAUUUUAAAAAAGAAAAUAAUUUUUUGAAAUCAAAAAAUAAACCUAAUCACAUGUUUUGUGUUGAAAUUUGAUACAUAAUCACUCUUUUGGUCGAAACUUUUGAUAGGAAAAUCACAUUAUUGCAAUAUUUGCGGCAUUAGAACCUAGACAUCAAGAUCUUUCCAAUGAUAUAUUAUAUGCCCAACUCCGAUAACCGAAUGAGAAAUGACGAUUAUUUAAAGUUUGUUUGUGCUGAAAUUUGAUACAUGUUUAAUCUUUUGGAAAUAACGUCUUAUAGAAAAAUUGUAUUAAUGCAAGGUUUGCGGCAUUAGAAACUAGACUCCAAGAGCUUUCCAACGACUUAUUAUAUACCCAAUUCUGACAAUUGAGCGAGAAAUAACGACCGUUUAAAGUUUGCAGUGAUUUCUAACAUUCAGUCGCGUGCGACCGGACCACAAUCAUAUUGAUGCUCAUUUUAGUUGUCAUUUCUAGCUCGUCAUUUUUAGCUCGGUUAUCGGAAUAGGGCAUAUAAUAUAAUAUUGGAAAGAUCUUGAAGUCUAGGUUCUAAUGCCGCAAACAUUGCAAUUACAUGCUUUUUCUAUUUAAAGUUAUUGCCAAAAGAGUGAACAUGUAUUAAAUUUUAACACAAUCAUAUUGAUGCUCAUUUUAGUUGGCCAUUGUAAUUCGAUUUUUAGUUUUAGUUUGUUUUAAUUCAAUGAGUGUUUGGAGAGAAUUUUUAGAGGGAUGUUAGAGAUUGAAGGUUUGAAAAGUAAUCAGGGGCAAUCUUUGAAGUUCAAUAUAUAAGGGGUAGCAAUAAAAUGAAGAAGGUAGUGAAGUUUAAUAAUGCCCAUAUCAAUUUAAGAAAAGGUUUGCCAAUCAUCAUACUACCUAUUAAAGAUGUAUGUAAUGACAAAUGUCAAUUUAAGAGAAGGUUUGUCAAUUUGAAUAUUUCUAUUGAUAAAUUUCGCAUAUAUGACAUAUACUUAAGCAAGUUGUUAAUUUCUAAAACAAAAAAAUAAUUAAUAUUCAUAUUUAAAAUACAUUAAUUGAUUUCAAUACAAUAUAAUUAACCAGGCCCAGCUCUAGGAUAGGCAAGGGUGUCACUGCCUAGAGCCCAAUAAUUAUAAGAGCCCAAAUGCAUACUUAAUGUAGUAUGAGUAAUUAAAAAAACAGUAGUUUCAAACUGUAAUAUGCAAAUACCAAAUAUAGAGAAGAAAUAAAUGGAAAGUUUGUUUUCCCAUUUCCCAUAUCUGUAUUCAAUUUCCAUACGGAAUACAGAAUAAUAAAUGGAAAGGCCAAUAGCUUUCAUUUUUCGAAAAAGAAAAAUAUGGAAUUGAAAAAGACUUAAGGCUUCUACAUUUAUUAUCGGUGUUUAUUAUUCAAAAAAAAGAGGAAGGAGAAAGAAAGGCUAAUCACACUAAUUAUGGAUCUUAUUUUCGAAUUACCAAAUUUCAACAGUCAACAUAUUGGUAAGAAUGAAUUUGCAAUUUACAUUGAGCAAGAUUGAACAAUUAUUAAUCUUUCGUUGAUGUAAAGGUAAAUAAUAUUUCCAGUAUUCCUCACAAGAUAGAUCAUACCUGUUCUUCCAAGGAAGGAGUAAAGAGAGAUACGUGCAAUCAAGAAAUUCUCUAAUUGAUACCUGCACUCAAUAGGGAUCAAACUCCAAACCUUUAGCUCUACGUGCAGAUGCUCUAUCCAUUGUUGGUGUUUUAUUUGAAUUGCUUGAAGAUGAAGGAGGAAUUAAUUGUUUUUCUUCCAUUUUCUAACUGGACUAUUGAAGAUUAUAUAUCAGCUUGAAUACUGAUGGUGAAGGAGUUCGAUUGACCGGUGGGUUUGUCGCCGGCUUGUUGAUAUUUUAUCAUUUAAUUUAUGCAUUUUUGUUGUUGCAAUUUUGAUAUUUUUUUAUUUUUAAUGUUAUGCAAUUUUUGGGUUUUAAGUUUAGCAAUUUAUGGGUUUUGAUUUUCUACAAUUAUUUAGGUUUUAGUUUCUACAUUUUUAUCAUACAACAUAAACUCUUGCAUUAAAAAACUCAAACGCAUACAACACAUAAUAUAAAUUGCUACAGUAUAUAAUAUAAAUAGAUACAACAAAUGACUUAAAUAU